rnacentral:rRNA from 1 species
UACGGAGGGGGCUAGCGUUGUUCGGAAUUACUGGGCGUAAAGCGCACGUAGGCGGCUUUGUAAGUUAGAGGUGAAAGCCCGGGGCCCAACCCCGGAAUUGCCUUUAAGACUGCAUCGCUUGAACAUCGGAGAGGUAAGUGGAAUUCCGAGUGUAGAGGUGAAAUUCGUAGAUAUUCGGAAGAACACCAGUGGCGAAGGCGACUUACUGGACGAUUGUUGACGCUGAGGUGCGAAGGCGUGGGGAGCAAACAGG